rnacentral:rRNA from 1 species
CCCUUAGAUGUUCUGGGCCGCACGCGCGCUACACUGAUGCAUUCAACGAGCCUAUCCUUGACCGACAGGUCCGGGUAAUCUUUGAAUCUGCAUCGUGACGGGGAUAGAUUAUUGCAAUUAUUAAUCUUCAACGAGGAAUGCCUAGUAGGCGCAAGUCAUCAGCUUGCGUCGAUUACGUCCCUGCCCUUUGUACACACCGCCCGUCGCUCCUACCGAUUGAAUGUGUUGGUGAGGAGCUCGGAUUGGCAGCAGUUGGUGGUUCGCCACCGGCUAUUGCUGAGAAGUCCUCCAAACCGCCCCAUUUAGAGGAAGGAGAAGUCGUAACA